GGAGAAAUGCCGGAGUGGUCGAUCGGGGCGGUCUCGAAAACCGUUGUUCUCUUACGGGAACCGGGGGUUCGAAUCCCUCUUUCUCCG
rnacentral:tRNA from 1 species